UACAGAGGUGGCAAGCGUUGUUCGGAAUUACUGGGCGUAAAGGGCGCGUAGGCGGCUUGGUCAGUCCCGUGUGAAAUCCCUCGGCUCAACUGAGGAACUGCACGGGAAACUGCCUGGCUUGAGUUCGGGAGAGGGAAGCGGAAUUCCGGGUGUAGCGGUGAAAUGCGUAGAUAUCUGGAGGAACACCGGUGGCGAAGGCGGCGUUCUGGACUGCAACUGACACUGAGGAGCGAAAGCCAGGGGAGCAAACAGG
rnacentral:rRNA from 1 species